rnacentral:rRNA from 1 species
GACGGACGCUGGCGGCGUGCCUAAUACAUGCAAGUCGAACGCUUCUUUCCUCCCGAGUGCUUGCACUCAAUUGGAAAGAGGAGUGGCGGACGGGUGAGUAACACGUGGGUAACCUACCCAUCAGAGGGGGAUAACACUUGGAAACAGGUGCUAAUACCGCAUAACAGUUUAUGCCGCAUGGCAUAAGAGUGAAAGGCGCUUUCGGGUGUCGCUGAUGGAUGGACCCGCGGUGCAUUAGCUAGUUGGUGAGGUAACGGCUCACCAAGGCCACGAUGCAUAGCCGACCUGAGAGGGUGAUCGGCCACACUGGGACUGAGACACGGCCCAGACUCCUACGGGAGGCAGCAGUAGGGAAUCUUCGGCAAUGGACGAAAGUCUGACCGAGCAACGCCGCGUGAGUGAAGAAGGUUUUCGGAUCGUAAAACUCUGUUGUUAGAGAAGAACAAGGACGUUAGUAACUGAACGUCCCCUGACGGUAUCUAACCAGAAAGCCACGGCUAACUACGUG